rnacentral:rRNA from 1 species
AGUGAACGCUGGCGGUAGGCCUAACACAUGCAAGUCGAACGGCAGCACAGUAAGAGCUUGCUCUUACGGGUGGCGAGUGGCGGACGGGUGAGGAAUACAUCGGAAUCUACUUUUUCGUGGGGGAUAACGUAGGGGAACUUACGCUAAUACCGCAUACGACCUACGGGUGAAAGCAGGGGAUCUUCGGACCUUGCGCGAUUGAAUGAGCCGAUGUCGGAUUAGCUAGUUGGCGGGGUAAAGGCCCACCAAGGCGACGAUCCGUAGCUGGUCUGAGAGGAUGGUCAGCCACACUGGAACGGAGACACGGUCCAGACUCCUACGGGAGGCAGCAGUGGGGAAUAUUGGACAAUGGGCGCAAGCCUGAUCCAGCCAUACCGCGUGGGUGGAGAAGGCCUUCGGGUUGUAAAGCCCUUUUGUUGGGAAAGAAAAGCAGCAGGUUAAUACCCCGCUGUUCUGACGGUACCCAAAGAAUAAGCACCGGCUAAGUUCGUG